rnacentral:rRNA from 1 species
UACGUAGGGUGCGAGCGUUGUCCGGAAUUAUUGGGCGUAAAGGGCUCGUAGGCGGUUUGUCGCGUCGGGAGUGAAAUCCACUGGCUUAACUGGUGGCUUGCUUUCGAUACGGGCAGACUGGAGGUAUGCAGGGGAGAACGGAAUUCCUGGUGUAGAGGUGAAAUUCGUAGAUAUCAAGCGGAACACCGGUGGCGAAGGCGGCCUUCUGGACAGUGACUGACGCUGAGACGCGAAAGCGUGGGGAGCAAACAGG